UUUUCUAACAGCCGCCUGCCCACUGC
rnacentral:sRNA from 1 species